UGAACAUUUUUGUUUUUCAAGUAGUUUUGCGGUUGUGGAUGCAUGCCUCCUUGUACAGUGGGCCUUUCCGUUUACAAACUGUUACGUUCUAACUGCAGCCACUGUCCAAGGCAGUCACCGGGCUUCGCUCUUCACAUGCCCGGCUGAGCCGUGCAGUCUUUGGAGUGCGCUCUGGACCCGGAGAAACGCUCCUGUCUUGUGCAGCCGAGUGUUUAGAUGGGUGUGCGGCCCUUCGGAAAGCUGUGUUUGCAGGUGCGAUUGUGGAACAAGUGUGUUUCCAAAGGCCACGCGCUCCUAGCUUCGACACCAUACGCUUCUCGAAAUGAUCUCUUUCUACUGUAACAAAGUGAGAAGUAUUUCCGACAGAUCUUCGGGCUCUACGAAGUAACAGGUUCAUCGAGAGAGGACGACUACAACGUUUGCUGCCACAUAAGCCGGACGUGACUGUGGAUGUGUGAGGCUGUACCCACUCUGCAACACUUGGUUUGGUCUUGAAGUAUCCCAGGUCUACCACUGCCAUCCACAAGCUAAGGCUGCUACACCGGGACGCAAUUUUCACAUCGGUAAGAACACGUCGACAUGGUGAGUGGAUCGCCGGUUUCACCAUCGGCCUUUCUUGCACGGUGCUUGCAACAUAAAGCCAGCUUACAGUACGCUUCAUUGUAACUCGGCAAAGGGCCAAUUCGACAGCCUCCGUAAGCCAGUUAAACUUGUUGUUUGGCUGGUUGGUGCAUGAUGCUCAGGGAAGCUGUGAGCAUAAACGGGGGCGGACGAAGAAAGGGACACCCAUCCAUGUCCCCUUUGCGUCUGUCUCUCUUUGCACUUACAAGUUUCCUAAGCCAAUUAGAAUGACGGAGCAAAGUGUGUGGCAGUCGUGAGAUGGUAUAUACAAGGUGUAUUAAUUCCUAACUUCGUCAUCUGCAAAUAAAGCCUUUGACAAGUUUGUUGGUUUUACAGGACGAUAAUUAUGCCUCGAAAUUUUGCAAACUAUAAUUGACCACCUUGUUGCACAUUCGUUGAAAGUAUAAGCUUUCUAUCUGCAGGCGCCAAUGUUUACGACUUGUUUAACAGCGUAAGGUCUAUGUGGCCACUUAUAUAGUAUGCACCCACUGUAAAAUUUGUAAUCAAAAUUCAGCCCAAAAUAUAAAGUUAUUCGUAGGUAAUCUUCACCGAGUCUGCACCUGGUGUGUAGACUGCACCUGGUCUGUAGCCUGCAAAUAAUUUUCAGGCUCAGUGCACCUUGCCAAAUGUCUGCUAUUGCAUUAUACAGAAAUCGUCAUUGACACAAUCUUUUCUCAAAGCCCGUCCUGUCUUGUCCUAAUGAACGUUCUUGAAAAAAACAAGCCCUUGUCUAGUCCGCACCUCUAUAUAGCCUGCACCAUGGAAAAUUUCAACCUUUAAACGCAAAAGCUUUGUAAAUUAUAAUCCAUUUUUUUUAGCAGUAGUUUUUUUGGGCAGUGUUUAUACAGCUUUUUGAAAUUCUUGAAUACCCAGGAUUUUGAUAAAAGCCUUUCAAGGGCCCUUAUAUUUUCUUGAAAGUUUCAAUGCUUCUUGUAUUCCUUGAAAUUUGGGAAAUUAACAUGUUUUUGCAACGGUCUGAGAAGUUCAGUGAUGGGAAGCGUAUGCAGAGACUCCGAAGUGCAGGCGGUCAGAUAACAUUACCAAAAAUAAAAUAAAAAAGAGUCGGGUGCUUUCUCUGGAAAUGAUGUUGAUUUACAUGGAAGGGGAUACACUUCACUGCUCUUCACUCAUCCAAGCCAUGGCAAUGCAUGUAGUGGUGCACAACAUUAUUGCGGGAGAAAAGCGGUCACCUUGGCAACCGACAUGGAGGAACACUUUUUUUGCCGCUAGAUGCAUCACGGUCAGAUUUUGGCCACGGAAAAACAUGUAGUCUUUUCUACCAGAUGUGCUUGCUCCAUGCACGGGAAACACAUGUGACAACUUUAAUCGGGCUAGGAUCGUAUCUGACAGUUCACGUCGCGAAGCCGCCCACAUUCGCGGAAAUCGUUGUCAUGAUUGCGUCAUGCAGCCUGCACUUGUUUUAAAGUCCGAGGCAUCCCGUGUCAUCGCCCCUUUUGCUCUGUGUUGCCUCAAAUUCUUUUUCUUCCAAUUCCCUUGAAAUCCUCAAAAGGUCCUUGAAUUCUGUAUAAAAAAUUCUGGCCAAACCUUGCAAAGUGAAAUAAGUUGUUUCAUCCACCUUCAAAUCUAUCAAAAAUGUAAUGCAGAUGAAGUGCUUUUAGUGUUGACGGGUAUUGUAUGUCAUUUAAAAGAAACAUUCCUCAAGCAUGCUUGCUAAAGAGCUGCGAGGCUUGUUUCAACAAAUGAAAGACGCUGAUGAUCUUUUUCUUUCAGCCGAUUCGAAGAGGGAGGCAGAAAUGGUCCGCAUAUCCUGGCGUGUCACCACACCGCAUUGCUCAGCUGUGGUGUUGUGCAGCCUGCUUUGCAGACGUCAAGCCUUCCGUGCGCAUGUGAAGAAAAACCAGCACAAUGCAGCCACAAGCAUUCCAGAAGUCAUGAUUCUUUCACUCGGCUUCUUUUUGUUAAAAGUGAUUGGCCACUUGUGCUACAUGAACCACCAAAAUCUUGUUGUCUUAAUAUUUAAUUUUUCUCCCUUCUAUCUCUUUUUUAAUCUACUUUUUCCCUUUUUCAAUUUGAAUAUGCAUGCUUGGUAUUGCAUUUAGCACAUUUUUUUAUCUGUGCAUUGAUAAGCAGUACACUUGAGACCAGUUUUUUGGUGUAAAUUGAUUGAUUAUAUUCUGGCUAGUUUACAAUUGUGGUUACAUUUCUAUGUUAUGGGACUUAAGGUUAACAGCAUUUUGUUGUGGAUGACUGAUCAGUGCCAUCUCUUGUGUUCAUAAGCAUGCACGUGAAGUUUGUUGCGAUCUUGUACUGUUUCCAUGUUUAACUAUACCUUUGCUGGUGUCUCGUAAAAUGCCCACCCAGUGUUGUGGGCACACUGCAGUCGCAGGACUGCAUACUUUCCUAGCUCUCACACCCUUUGUAGUUUGUUAUGUAUGUUUUAUGAUUUGUAAACAUCUUAGAAAGGCACAGAAGUGGAUCUUGAGAUUGUCUUUUUAUAAUGUGAAACCAACCUAUGCCCCCCAGGCGUGUUAAAAAAAAAAAAAUUACAGUGAUGUGUGACCUUUUUCCCUAUCAAAAAUGCUGCCAAACAUCCUGACACGCCCCUUUUCUGGGAUAUAUCUCGGAAAAGGGGCGUGCCACAAUGUUUGGUCGUGUUUUUAAUGAAGAAAGGCCACACAUGAUUGUAUUUUGGGGUUUUCUAAGAUGCUUAGGGCACAUAGAUUCAGUUUACACAAUAAAACAACAAACCCAAAAUCGAGCAGCUGCACAGCAGUGCAGGCGGUUCUAAGCAGUAACGACCAGCUUAAGAACCAGUUGUAGCGAGAGUCACCGUAUGGGUUCCCAGAGUAACGAAACUCCGAAGCUGAAACCGAAACCGUGGCACCGCCAUCUUGUGUCCACGCGUCGACGGGGAUUACCAAAUCGCAAGAGCAUCACUUGUGCGAAAUCGAACACAUUUGACGCCUGUUCGACUGCGAGGCAAUGAGGGAUACGCGGAAUGACCCCAGCUGUAAUCGGCACUCACCUCACAAAGCUUGCUUGUUGCAGUGGGCUCGAAAUCUUUCCGUUUUACUAUGGUCAGCCAAGCCUUCUUCCUCUCCAUCUUGUAGUUGCAUCCUUUCCAAACGGUAUCCGGAAAAGUCUCUUUCCAUCCUCCAACCUGCUGCUGCACCCAAAAGCGCAACAAGCAGGCAUUGUGUCGCAAGUAUACAACCUCCUUGCUUUUGACGUCAGUAACCGCAUAGAAAAGUCUGCGCAUAAAUGCGCGUUCGAUGAGCAGCAGAGCGUGCGUGAGUGCAGUUGUUUACUGGGCCCAAGAUGAUCGCGAUCUGAGCCGCUUGAAGCACUGAUGGAGGUGAGCCUAGCGGUGCUUGUGUCAGUGAAUGCUACUGUCCAGUGACGUUCAACAAGCCAAAACACGAUCGGCUAGAGUGAGUAUGUUGUCGGCAAAACGCAAAAAGAAAAGGAAUGCAAUACUCUGGGACUUUACAGUGACUUUAGUUGUAGCGUUGUCGGUUGCAGUCAAACGCAACUAUGUGGACUGGCCUUUGCUUAAUUUCUCUACGAGAUGUCAUUUUGUGGACACUUUUUACGAAGUGACACUUUUUUCCACGUUUUGUACCUGGGGGUGAGGGGGAUAAUUGGGUUCGUUAAAAAUAUAUUAACUACCCUGGCACAAGUUAAUAUGGGCCUGAGGUUUUGAAAAUUUGUUAUAUUUUCAAAUAUUUAGAAUUCGGUCUAAAAUAUAUGCGAUCCCGGCCUACCGGCUAAAUCAUUAAGAACGCGGACAGUCAGUCGGCCAACCACUGGCAGGCAUAUUUCUACUCCAUGUUUAUUUUUGUUGCGCACAUUUGUGGUGCAUUCAGUAUUGGCGUGCUAUUGAGUGUGGGUCAAAGUGUUUAAAAGGGCUGGCUCUCGUAAGAAAAGGAAAAGUCGUUUCACCAUCUGCGGCAGUGGCGUCAGUCGAGCUUUCCACUUAGGAUGACGCUUGGGCGUGCGUCGCCAAAGUGCGACGAAAGACAACGAGCUUGCGCUGCUGGCAGUGCUUCUCUUGCAGAUAUUGCAUUGCAGCAGACUAGAAUUUUUGCAGUGCAGUUGGGGGAAAAGCGAUAGUGCUUCAAGGCGGAGAGAGUCCCUCUCAUUUGGGCGUCCUCUUGCGCCGCCUUUAACUUAUUUUCGGCGUCUGCUUCCUCACGCGCAGCAGAGCUUGAGGAGAUCACCCCGGACCUGAGCCACCGGUGCGUCGACUGCGGCUGCCUGUUCUCAACGCGGGCCUAUCUGCAGGGCCACUGGAAGCGAA
rnacentral:misc_RNA from 1 species